AUUGCAGCUUUAGAUCGAGGUCGGAAGCUGACACAAAAACUUAAAUUCUGCGAUGGGUCAUAUGCAAGUGAUUCAUGGUGUUCCAGUUCGUGAACACAUAAAAGGACAAUUUUCUAAUUAGUGUCAGCUUUGAGUUUAGGGUAAAUCCCAGACAUUUUAGUUGCCCUUACUUAUUUUUGGAGACAUUUCUCUCAGCCAAUAAUGAAGCAAU
ensembl:misc_RNA